UAUGGCACUAUAGAAUUCACUGCCGAUCAAGCUCUCUGUCCAGUGGAAUCAAUGGUGCCAUGCA
rnacentral:pre_miRNA from 1 species